rnacentral:pre_miRNA from 1 species
GUGCUCAGUCUGCGGGUUUCGUUCUCUGCGAACAUUCACGACAAUCUAUGUUGUUCGUUGUCGACGAAACCUGAAAAUUGUGCAU